rnacentral:lncRNA from 1 species
CAGUAAAUGUAUUGAGCCAUGUUAACCUGCCAAUGAGAUCUGUGAAAAAGUAAUCGCCUCAUUUUUCCCUUUUUAAUUUCUUUUACCUUUUUGUGAAAUGGCUAUACGUGGCAUACAUGUAUUUUAGAAAAAUAUUAGGUAUAGAGUUUUGUUUUUUUUUUUUUACACUUUAAGCAUGUGGUGUUGAAGUAUUACUGUAGAUCAAGUUUGUCUUCCACACUAAGAUGUGAGGAAAUUGUGAUUUGUUCUCUCCACCACAACAGAAUUACACAAUUAUCUUCUCUCAUUUUGAAACACUGCAGUUUACCAUGGGACACUGUAUAUAUUUCUUGCCAUAAUGGUAAAUGACUGAUUGAUAUAUUUAAGACUUAAUAAAUUUGUGAUUUCUGCUGACAAUGUGUCCACUUUUAUUUCUUCAGGGAUACUCUAUUUCUGCAUGUGUGAGGCUGGCUAGUGCCAAUGGCCACACAUCCUAUAUGGUCUUAUUAUUACAGAAUUCACCUUUGACAUUAAGAUGAAGUUACUGAACUGAGCUUCCCUCUAAGAAUGAACUUGGCGAUAAUGACAAUUUACUGUGUUAUUUGUGUGCACAAAAGAACAGUCUCUCCUAGGAAAGUUUUUCUGAGAACAAAGCACUUGACACAAGAGUCCUAAAAAUUUCUGAACUUGCCCUCCUCCUGAUGGCUGCUAGCCCGCUUCCACUUUUAACUCAAAUCUGACAUCUGACUAUGUAACACUUCUGGAUCAUCGCCAAUAUUCAGGCAAGCACCUCAUCUCCUGUUACUCCAGCUUAAA